UACGGAGGGAGCUAGCGUUGUUCGGAAUUACUGGGCGUAAAGCGCACGUAGGCGGCGAUUUAAGUCAGAGGUGAAAGCCCGGGGGCUCAACCCCGGACUGCCUUUGUAGACUGGAUUGCUAGAAUCUUGGAGAGGCGAGUGGAAUUCCGAGUGUAGAGGUGAAAUUCGUAGAUAUUCGGAAGAACACCAGUGGCGAAGGCGGCUCGCUGGACAAGUAUUGACGCUGAGGUGCGAAAGCGUGGGGAGCAAACAGG
rnacentral:rRNA from 1 species